CGCCUGGGGAGUACGGGUGAGGUAACGGCUCACCAAGGCAUCGACGGGUAGCUGGUCUGAGAGGACGAUCAGCCACACUGGGACUGAGACACGGCCCAGACUCCUACGGGAGGCAGCAGUAGGGAAUCUUGCGCAAUGGGCGAAAGCCUGACGCAGCAACGCCGCGUGGGGGAUGAAUGCCUUCGGGUUGUAAACCCCUUUCAGCAGGGACGAAAAUGACGGUACCUGCAGAAGAAGCUCCGGCCAACUACGUGCCAGCAGCCGCGGUGACACGUAGGCACCAAGCGUUGUCCGGAUUUAUUGGGCGUAAAGAGCUCGUAGGCGGUUCAGUUAGUCGGGUGUGAAAACUCUGGGCUCAACCCAGAGACGCCACCCGAUACUGCUGUGACUAGAGUGCGGUAGGGGAGCGGGGAAUUCCUAGUGUAGCGGUGAAAUGCGCAGAUAUUAGGAGGAACACCAGUGGCGAAGGCGCCGCUCUGGGCCGUAACUGACGCUGAGGAGCGAAAGCGUGGGGAGCGAACAGGAUUAGAUACCCUGGUAGUCCACGCCGUAAACGGUGGGAACUAGAUGUGGGGUCCGUUCCACGGAUUCCGUGUCGCAGCUAACGCAUUAAGUUCCCCGCCUGGGGAGUACGG
rnacentral:rRNA from 1 species